CUGCUCGCUUGGGAAGCAUGUGUACUAAAAUUGGAAUGAUGCAGAGAAAAUUAGCAUGGCCCCUGAGCAAGUAUAACAUGCAAAUUCAUGAAGCAUUCUGUAUUUUU